rnacentral:piRNA from 1 species
CCGCUGAGAGCCCCUGGAGGAGAAC